ensembl:snRNA U2 U2 spliceosomal RNA
AAAAAUUAUAAAAAGAAAAAAAAAUCUGUUCUUAUCAGUUUAAUAUCUGAUACGUCCCCUACCCGGGGACUACAUAUUAAAUUGAUUUUUGGAUCACGGAGCUGGAGCCGGGGCUUGCUCUGUCCACUCCACGCAUCGGCCUGGUAUUGCAGUGUUUCCAGGAACGGUGUGCUUCCC